AACAGCUCAAAUUUGAAAUCUGGCCUCCUUUGGGGUCCGAGUUGUAAUUUGUAGAGGAUGCUUCGGGGGCGGUCGCGGUCUAAGUUCCUUGGAACAGGACGUCAUGGAGGGUGAGAAUCCCGUGUGAGACCGAUGGCCAAUCCCAUGUGAAGCGCCUUCGACGAGUCGAGUUGUUUGGGAAUGCAGCUCUAAAUGGGUGGUAAAUUUCAUCUAAAGCUAAAUAUUGGCCAGAGACCGAUAGCGCACAAGUAGAGUGAUCGAAAGAUGAAAAGCACUUUGGAAAGAGAGUUAAAAAGCAUGUGAAAUUGUUGAAAGGGAAGCGCUUGCAACCAGACUUGCCCCCGGGUGCUCAACCGGCGUUUUCGCCGGUGCACUCGCCCGGGGUCGGGCCAGCAUCGGUUCGGGCGGUUGGAGAAAGGCCUCUGGAAUGUAGCUCCUCUCGGGGAGUGUUAUAGCCAGGGGCGCAAUGCGACCUGCCUGGACCGAGGAACGCGCUUCGGCUCGGAUGCUGGCGUAAUGGUUGUAAGCGACCCGUCUUGAAACACGGACCAAGAGUCUAACAUCUAUGCGAGUGUUUGGGUGUCAAACCCACACGCGGAAUGAAAGUGAACGGAGGUGGGAGCCCUCGGGCGCACCAUCGACCGAUCCUGAUGUCUUCGGAUGGAUUUGAGUAAGAGCAUAGCUGUUGGGACCCGAAAGAUGGUGAACUAUGCCUGAAUAGGGUGAAGCCAGAGGAAACUCUGGUGGAGGCUCGCAGCGGUUCUGACGUGCAAAUCGAUCGU
rnacentral:rRNA from 1 species